rnacentral:tRNA from 1 species
GGGAAGGUAGUUCAGUAGUAGAGCACUUGCCUUGCAUGCAUGAGGCCCUGGGUUCGAUUCCUCAGCACCA